UCGCGAGAUGACGGAGAUUGUGCAGAGUUUGUUAAUUCGGAAGUCAAGCCUAUUAAAUCGCAAGUCACAUUUCAUCCCCUCCAUAAUCACAUUUCAAAGUUCAAACCCACUUCUCUCACUCUCUCAAAUUCUCUAUGAAUCAGAUCUGGAUCCACUCUCUAGGUCCACCCUUGAAUCAAAAGAGAAGAACAUCAAUGCAUUUGUUGCUGACGACGAUCCAUUUGAAUCACCACAGGGGUCCGAUUUGGAACCCUCGCUGCUCUCAUACCAAACCACAUGGAAACCUUGUUUGACCUUUGUUUCGAUUUACCACACCAGAAACAUUCAAUUCUUAAUUGAUGUUUACGGAAUUAAAAGCUUUAUAGGUCUAAUUUCCAUACCAACUCAUUAAUGGAACCUUGAUAGGCCUUUCCUCACAGCCAAAGGUAAUUUCCGCUAGGUAUAUCAUCUUUCAUUUCUCUUGCUUAAUUGCUUACACAUAUUUAUAAGUUCGUACGCGACUAGAAAUAUAAAAAAUUGUUGUGAAUUAACAUUAUAGUAAUGCUUGUGUUUGCAACCCUUAUUCAGGAAGAAAAGUUGACAUCUGUGUUGGUUGAAUCAAAGGGGAAUUCAGUGGGUAUUUGGUAUUAUUUAAAGGAAAUUGCUUAUCGUUUCACGUUUUGUUUAUACAGUUUGGAAUCUAAGAAGCCUAUUGGUUGUUACAAUGCUUCACUCCAGGUAUGGUCAUGAUCUGUAUAAAACAAGUAAGGAUCGCUUAUGCUACUGUUAGUGUUUUCUCAGGUUGGAGGCAUUUUCAAUAACUAUUAUGUUGAGGGUAGCCAACCAGUUGAUCUCUAUAAGCACCAUAUGGAACUGUUUCUACACUAUAGCUAAUUUGUCAAUGUUAGAGAUUUCAGCCGUUAUCAAAGAGUUUAGAUCCCGCCACUUGUCUGUGCUUACCAAUGUAUCCAUAUUAUUAACUAUAAUAAAAUAUAAUUUGUGUGCCCAAUAAUAAAAUGUGAUGGUUGUAUUGAAACAAGGUGAAGGGAAAGAAAACGAGAACACCUCUAAUGACUUAUGGGAGAAGUGGAAACGUUGAGGUCUCAUUGGAGUAGCUGCUUGUGGAACCUUAAUAGCAAUCACUGGUGGUUGACUUCGGUUGUGGCUCUCGAAGCUUAUUGGAUUCAUUAUUGCAAAUUUACUUCGGUUCUUAAAGGGAAUUGUAAACUCGAUCACAUACUUUUUAUGAAUUCUGUUGUGAUUAAAUUUGUACUAUGAAUAUGACAUAUUUGUGUGAUUCAUAACAUAACACUUCGUAUUGCUUCUUUCAA